AGAGGGACCGCCAGGAAGAGGACACCCAGCAGCAUCGUGCGCUUCUCCUCUUAUGAAGGAAAAUAAAAAACACGAAACUGCAGGAUGCCAAGAGGCUGUUCCCUCCUGAGGGUGUUGCAGGAUCAGAUCAUGCGGAGGAGUAUAAGAGGAGGGAGCUGCCAAUACUUCAGCUCCAGAGCGUUAGCCAGUAUUCGAUUAUUUCUCGUGACUCUGUGGAUGUUACCCACUGGUUGCCCGAGUUCCACUGACACCUCCACAGUAAACCAAACCUCCUUGGAUUACCCUGCUAGCAGCCUCACUUGCUCCUGUGAUCCAAAGCUUAGCUGUCCGCCCUCCACCGCAGCCUUUUUGUCGGUCAAGCAGCAACUCUCCACCCGAACCAAAUCCCGGUAACCACAGUGAUUCUUCCCCCCGGAGAAGACUUACCUCCACCUAAUUCUCCGGUGAUCCAGAUUGCAGACUUUCCCCAGAACCCGAUUGUUGAUCAUUAUUUUGUGUUUACAAUAAACUUAUUUAACUGAUUUCUGUUCUCCGC